rnacentral:tRNA from 1 species
AUUUCUAUUAUAUAUUUAUAUAGUUUAAAAAACAUUACAUUUUCAUUGUAAAAUUAAAUAUUUAUUAUUUUAUAA